GCACUGCUGGGGAGUCCCAUAAUAGAACGAAACAGCCGUCCAGUGU
rfam:Schistosoma mansoni strain Puerto Rico chromosome 3, complete genome